rnacentral:ribozyme from 1 species
GUUGUGAAAAAAAAAAAAAAAAAAAAAAAAAAAAAAAAAG